rnacentral:rRNA from 1 species
AGAGUUUGAUCAUGGCUCAGAUUGAACGCUGGCGGCAGGCCUAACACAUGCAAGUCGAACGGUAACAGGAAGCAGCUUGCUGCUUCGCUGACGAGUGGCGGACGGGUGAGUAAUGUCUGGGAAGCUGCCUGAUGGAGGGGGAUAACUACUGGAAACGGUAGCUAAUACCGCAUAAUGUCGCAAGACCAAAGAGGGGGACCUUCGGGCCUCUUGCCAUCGGAUGUGCCCAGAUGGGAUUAGCUUGUUGGUGGGGUAACGGCUCACCAAGGCGACGAUCCCUAGCUGGUCUGAGAGGAUGACCAGCCACACUGGAACUGAGACACGGUCCAGACUCCUACGGGAGGCAGCAGUGGGGAAUAUUGCACAAUGGGCGCAAGCCUGAUGCAGCCAUGCCGCGUGUAUGAAGAAGGCCUUCGGGUUGUAAAGUACUUUCAGCGGGGAGGAAGGGAGUAAAGUUAAUACCUUUGCUCAUUGACGUUACCCGCAGAAGAAGCACCGGCUAACUCCGUGCCAGCAGCCGCGGUAAUACGGAGGGUGCAAGCGUUAAUCGGAAUUACUGGGCGUAAAGCGCACGCAGGCGGUUUGUUAAGUCAGAUGUGAAAUCCCCGGGCUCAACCUGGGAACUGCAUCUGAUACUGGCAAGCUUGAGUCUCGUAGAGGGGGGUAGAAUUCCAGGUGUAGCGGUGAAAUGCGUAGAGAUCUGGAGGAAUACCGGUGGCGAAGGCGGCCCCCUGGACGAAGACUGACGCUCAGGUGCGAAAGCGUGGGGAGCAAACAGGAUUAGAUACCCUGGUAGUCCACGCCGUAAACGAUGUCGACUUGGAGGUUGUGCCCUUGAGGCGUGGCUUCCGGAGCUAACGCGUUAAGUCGACCGCCUGGGGAGUACGGCCGCAAGGUUAAAACUCAAAUGAAUUGACGGGGGCCCGCACAAGCGGUGGAGCAUGUGGUUUAAUUCGAUGCAACGCGAAGAACCUUACCUGGUCUUGACAUCCACGGAAGUUUUCAGAGAUGAGAAUGUGCCUUCGGGAACCGUGAGACAGGUGCUGCAUGGCUGUCGUCAGCUCGUGUUGUGAAAUGUUGGGUUAAGUCCCGCAACGAGCGCAACCCUUAUCCUUUGUUGCCAGCGGUCCGGCCGGGAACUCAAAGGAGACUGCCAGUGAUAAACUGGAGGAAGGUGGGGAUGACGUCAAGUCAUCAUGGCCCUUACGACCAGGGCUACACACGUGCUACAAUGGCGCAUACAAAGAGAAGCGACCUCGCGAGAGCAAGCGGACCUCAUAAAGUGCGUCGUAGUCCGGAUUGGAGUCUGCAACUCGACUCCACGAAGUCGGGAUCGCUAGUAAUCGUGGAUCAGAAUGCCACGGUGAAUACGUUCCCGGGCCUUGUACACACCGCCCGUCACACCAUGGGAGUGGGUUGCAAAAGAAGUAGGUAGCUUAACCUUCGGGAGGGCGCUUACCACUUUGUGAUUCAUGACUGGGGUGAAGUCGGAACAAGGUAACCGUAGGGGAACCU